rnacentral:rRNA from 1 species
UACGUAGGGUGCAAGCGUUAAUCGGAAUUACUGGGCGUAAAGCGUGCGCAGGCGGUUUUGUAAGUCUGACGUGAAAUCCACGGGCUCAACCUGGGAAUUGCGUUGGAGACUGCAAGGCUAGAAUCUGGCAGAGGGGGGUAGAAUUCCACGUGUAGCAGUGAAAUGCGUAGAGAUGUGGAGGAACACCGAUGGCGAAGGCAGCCCCCUGGGUCAAGAUUGACGCUCAUGCACGAAAGCGUGGGGAGCAAACAGG